ensembl:lncRNA novel transcript
GCUUAGGAAACCACCCCACAAUGGCAGGAGACACCAUGAGAUGUUUUCUACUGUAGAAACUUUCUCAUUAGAAAUAGCCCAUUUAUACAGGGGACUGGCUAAUGUUUUUCUAUGAGUAUCAUUAGCCAGUGUCUCAAAGUGGUGAAGAGUAAGUAUAUAGCAUCUUUCAAAAACAGCUGUUAAAGAGUAACAGAAUUCUCCAGAUUCAUUUCUCAGAUUUGUGGGAAAGCCUGAGUCAGGCACUUUGCAUCCCCCAUGCCUUUCAAACCUGAUGGACUGCAACCUGGAACAAGGAGAGACAAAGGGAAGGAGGAGUCUGGAGCCAUAUUGAAGAUGAAAUUGAGAUAUGGACUAGGUGGUGGAUCGUUUUUAUAAGAGGACAUAAAAGAGGAUGCUAAAGCUAAUUGCCACAAUCAGAACUCAAAGACCUAGCAAAUGCAAGGUGGUAUUUAUUCUAAACUCAGCAAAGUAGUAGAAAAAUAGUUUUGAGAACAGUUUUAAGGAGACUAGGGUAACAGUGAGAAAAUAGUUCAUGGCUAGUCUGGACUUAGGACUUUAGGGUCGGCCUGGUGAAUUGAAGGGAAGCAGCUGAUACACUCUGGUUGCCUUGUACCCUGGCUUUUGGUGCUUUCCCAUGUGCUGUAGUCAUCAGUAAUCUGGAGGAAAUGCUAUAGAGGCAAAGACACCAUUAGAUGGGUGCUCAACUAGCAAACAGGAUGUGACCACAGAGUAGUUACCCCAAGACCAGGUCAGCAUGACCCAAAAGGCAGAAGAGGACAAGGUUUAUGAGUGUUGGGCUGAGCUCACGCCUGCUUGAACAUCUCAAGAACAAUGUUAAUGAUGGAAGAGAGAGAUAGGAGAGGAAACUCAUUAAACUUGCCAAAUAUGAGAUGUAGCUGGGUUGGCUCUAUGUAAGCAUGGCAGAAAAGCAUUUAGAAGUCAUAAUACAUUUAAAAUAAGAGCUACCAGCAUAGCAGUGACAUGAAGAAGGCAUGUGUUUUGUUAAAAAGUUUUAAAUACUCCUAUAAAAGAUAGUAAGGUACAAGUUGUUUGCUUGAUCAGCAAUGCUAAUUGCCUUUGAAGUGCAUGCCUGGGGAUUCCAUGGAGAGAGGACCCUGUUUCUCCACCCCAACCCAAAUUCACUGAGUUUAUGUCAGAAUGUUCAGAAGCCCCUUUACAAAUUCCUCUGAUUGCCUUGUUAGACACUGGCCACCUCCCUGAACCUGGGCCAAGAUGAGGGUCUACACCUUGGCUUAGUUCUACUAUGAAAGACUUUCCUGCAGUAAAAGUUACCUGUCUGAAACAUUCAGAAGAGUGAAAAUGCCACAUCUCCAAUUUCCAGCAAUAUAUUUGUCUGCCAUGAUUUGGCCUGGAAGCUUAAGCAGGAAGACCACUUGGAGCCAGACUUCAGAGUGAUCUGUCUCUAAGGAAUAACUUUCAUAUUGCAGCGUUCGGUUUUGCAAUUCUUCCUAAGCUACUCUAAAUUCGCAGCAUAAAUCUGCAGAAAGACUUCACCCUCCACAUCAAACCCUUAUAAGGAUCCAUUUCUGCUCUCAUUUUAGAAUAUCUUUUCUAAUAGCUAAAGGCAGACAGAGGCAAACCAAGAAAUCCAGACUUUGCAUCAACGGGUUAAAUCAUAUGUCAAAGGUGCAACCAUAACGUAUUACAAGCUUCUCAUCACAUAAUACAUCACUCAAGAAAAAAUAUUUGGGCAGCUUUUCUAAUUCAUCUUCCUGGUGUUAAAGGAGCACAUCUCCAGUGUUCGUGUCUUCUGUUUCAAUUAAAGCAAUCAUGCCUACUCUUUUAGGAAAC